CAGAACCCCCUCCCACACCUUGAACCCCUCAUUUCUGGCCCCACCCUGGAGUCUAGGGGAAGCUCCAAGCCUCUGCACCCUCCUCCCCCCACGGGGCUGGAGCUGUGAGCACUGGCUAACCCUGCUGCAGGGAGAAGCCCCGAGCCUCAAUGCCUCCUUCCUCUGCGUGGGGCUGUGUGUGGCCCGCAACUGAUUUUUUCUGUGGGUCAGUGUCCCCAAUAGAAAAAAGUUUCCCCAUCCCUGAGUGGCAUAAACAUUUCUUGUCUAGUAGGAAACCUCUUUCUUCACCUUUGUUUGUGAUCAAUCCCUAGGCACAGACCUUAUAGUCACCAGGGUGCAUGCCUAACUCUUUUAUUUCAGACCUCACAUGACAGUCUGUGGUGAACAAGAAUGUACAUACCACACUCAGGAGAUUUCUGAAAUCACUAGGAACUGCUCUGUGCCUCUUGCUAGUUGGCACUAAGAGAUUCCUGGGUCAUAAGGACACAAAGCAUAAAAAGCACUGUUUCAUCUGAUUCUUUCAUUACGAAGCAGCCACCUGCUUAGCUGCCUUAGCACCUGGUGGUCAGUUGCCAAAUGCAAUUACAGUCGGUGGGAUGCUUUUCGGUCUCUGAGCCAAAAGGUCAUGGCUCCCAUGCUGCCUGCCAUGAGUCAUGGGUGCCACAUGCCCAUCCCGGAACAGAAGGGAUUUUUUUAAUGCACAGCAUAAGCUUCCAUCCUGGCUGGAAUGCUGAUUAGAGUCAUUUCAGAGUCCCAGGGCUCCAUCAGGAAUAAUAAUUGCCGGAGCACAGCUUGCUGGUAUCAGAGGCACCAAUCCCCACCUUGUGUCAUAAUUAAUCAGCACAGCUGGCAAACAGCAGUCAGAGUGGGUUAAACCUGCAAGGGACUAAUGUCUCAUGGAAACAUAGGAGUUUCCAGCCCAGAGCAGGUCAUUGGGCCAUCUAAUCCAAUGUCCUGGCUGGGGUCGAGUGGUUAAGGCCAUGGACUGUGACUUGGGACAUCUAGGUUCAAUUCCGGGCUCUGUCCCAGACUCUGUGUGACCUUGAAUAAGUCAUGUAGUUUUCUCUGUGCCUUGUGAAGUUUCCCAUCUUUGGCUGGGGCAAGGACUGUCUCCUGCUAUGUGUCUGUACAGUGCCUAGAUAAUGGAGCUUUCAUCUCAGCUGGGGACGGUAGGUAAUAUCUGACUAUAAUAAUGACAGUUGCUAAGAGCUGUUGGUUUCAAGGGAGGGGCAAGAAACCUCCUUGUGUCCAAUUCCUAGAUCCUCCUGAGCCAUCCUUUCCCCUUGAGAUGAGGCCAGAUUGGAGCUAAAGGUGGAAAGCUCCAUAUCCCAGUAUCUAAUAUUUGCCUUGGGGAAGAGGGUUUUAUCUAAAAUAAACUUUAAAUUUCAAGAUACAGUAUGAGAAUGGAAGGUUUUAAGGUUCAGUCCUGCACUAUUUGUCUUGCAAUAAUGUUUUGGCCUUCUCACUCCAUGAAAAUGAAAUUCCACCUACAUUUUCUGUGAACCUUUCCUAAUCCUGUCCCAAAACACCACCUCAACUUCCACAGCAAUUUCCAGCCUGUAGCUUGGAUCCCAGACUGCCUGGAAAUUACCUUUCUGAGCAGUGGGACCCUGAUUCUGAAAUGUCAGGUGUAAUGUCAGAGCCAGGAUUUAAUAACACGCUUGAGAGUCCGUGGGCACAAGAUGCACUUGAACACACAGAAUCCUAUCACUCGGCUUCCCUGCAGGUACCUGGCUUUGGUGCCCUAUUUGGUAGGGAGCUGACCCCUGCCAGACACAGGGUGAGGGAUUUGCUGUACCUAGGGGUAGGGAUCUGAUAUGGCAAAUGCUUGGGGCCUGAAUGACCAUUCCCCUAUAGUUUGUGUAGUCACUUAUACCAGUGCAAAGCAUACGUGACAACAGAAGGUGCAAGGCAGUGGAGAAUCAGGCUGUUGGUUUCUGUGUGUAAUCGAUUUCCCUAUGCGUUAUAUUCAGUUUCAAUAUAUGAAAUUCAAGAUGCAAGGUCUAUGCAUGCUUUAAGUGCCACUGAAGCUCUCAUAAUAAGUUUAAAGUAGUGCAGAGGCCUUGUGCUGCACAGGGAUGAUGCUGAGUAAGGAAAGUAGUUCCAACCUGGUAACAUCAGUCCUGCUCCUAUGGGGCUACACCUCUCCUACAAAGUGCCAAGCACCAGCAACUCCUGUUAACUUGAAUAGGAGUCAAAGGUACUUAGCACCUCACAGGAUCAGGCCUAUUGCUUAUGGGCCUAAGCCAGAACACUGCCAUGUUAGGUGGGGCUGGAGGAACUGAGCCUCCCAGGUUAAGCCUCUCUCUAAUUUCCUGCCCAUAGUGGUUGUUCGGCCAAUUGGUUUUGCAGAAGUACAUUAAUAAUCAAGACACGCUUCAUCAAAGGGAACUUGUAUCUGCAGCAGCGUCUCUGUGCUCUCCAGGGACUGAGCAAGGCUGCCAGCAAGCAGCUUAUAUUAGUUUACCUGCUGCACAGGUUGAUUCUGUAGUGAUUUCCCAAGUCCUCCUUCUGGGAGCUAUGCCAUUAGCUUGGAACGCAGUGAGAACUGGCCAUGAUGCCGUCUACAGCAGCAAUGUGAAUUGGAUUUUGAUUCAAAGCCGCUCAGGCCUUUUUUCUGUCAAGUCAGAUUAUAAACAGAUAAAGCAUGUGAGAGACUUCUGAAAUCAGUGGCUUUUAGAAGCAUCUGCACAGCUACGUGCAUAUAGGAGCUCUGCUCCCCCAUCUUAUUGCUUUAUAUGAAAGCAGACGUUUUGUUCAAUAUCUAUCUGCACCUGCCAUUUAUUCCCCGCUCAAAUCAUAUAACCCUCCUAUCUGAGCUAACGACUGUAUAGGAACCGUGGCUCUGUACUCACUAGAGUGAUCCUUAUUGCUUUAGCACCCAAAAGGCUUGGUCUUCAGUUUUGCCAACUCUUGUGAUUUUUAUCACAAAUCUCACAAUUUUUAGUGAUUUUCUUAAAGCCCCAGCUGCUGGAACCCUGGUGUUUUAUGAGACUCGUAUUAAUACCUAGCACUUUUCAUCAGUAAAUCUCAAAGUGCUUUAUAAAGGAUAUUAGUAUCAUUCGUUGUCCUCAUUUUACAGAUGGGGAAGCUAGGGCACAGGGACAGGAAGUGACUUGCCCAUGGUCACCCAGCCAAACCAGUCUAAGGUCCAAGCUUAGAUCCCCAGUCUCUUGAAUUCCCAACUAGCGCUCUUGUCGCUGCUAGGCCACACUUUCAUUUAAAAAGGAAAUUUCUAGCCCUCGUGGUUGCAGAGGGAUGCUUGAAAACGUGAACCAGGUGCGACCUAAAGGCGCAGAAACCAGAAGGCAAAGAAAAAGGUUCCAUCCUUUAUUUUUUUAAAAAAUCUCAUGAUUUUGGGGGAGCGGACUCAUGCUUUUGGAACAUAUGGGAGUGGUAGUACUAGUACUGCUUGUUCAGGCAGAGGAAAGGGGUCUUUCAGGGUGUGUAAAUUCACACUCACUUUAAAGCCUCUUUACGCUGACAGAGUGAUGCAAAGCAGUCUUUGUGUCACGGAGAAGCAGACCCCUUAUGUUUUUCUAGACUCCAAGAACAGCCAUAGGCUUCUGGGACCAGAUCCUCUGUUGGUGGAAAUUUGGGAUAAUACCGUUAACUUCAAUGGAACUACGCUGAUUUACACCAGCAGAGGAUCUGGCUCUCAGCUUAAAAUGGCUUUUGUUUUAGAGGAAGGAAAAAAAGCAACAAGAAAGAACACUAAGUAAGUAAAGGCCUCAGCAGAGAGCAAAACAUGUAGGUCUCUUGGCUGUAACAGGCUGCAAUAGCUCUGAGAAGAAAACAUUUGGGUUCCUGCGGGCAAGCAGCAUGCUUAGAAAUGUAAAGGUCCAGUGCCCAGGAAACUAAGGGAUCAGUUUCAUAAUGAUAUACACCAUAAUACAAUAUACACCAGAGAAGCUCAUAGGAAUGCUGAGUGCACACGGAAUGCAGGGAGUAAGCGGGAAAUCAAUAAGCAAGGAUAAUUUGAAGUCUGUGUAAACCCUGUGGCCUGAAGCUGGAGAGGGUAAGGAGUAUUAUACUCCCAUCUGUUGGUGAAUAGGGGGCAGAACAACCAGAGAGCUGCUGUAUUUGUAUGAGCGAUUUACCCAGAACUCCAACUGGAGAGAAGCUCCAGAGGGAGAGGAAAUCUCUGCCCCCAUUUAUUGGUGAACAGGGGGAAGUGUAACUACAGAGAUCUUCUUUUGAAUAAGCUUUCUAGCCAGAAUUCCUCCUGUGGCACUUUGGGAGCAGCAAACUCAGAACUGGUUAGGUAAUGGAACUAGUUUAAAAGAAGAUCCAGGUGAAAGCAGUUCUUAAUGUGUUUCAAGGACUUUGUUUGAGGAUCCUGUGUCCUCUUGAUUUUUCUUUCCUGGGGAUCGUGUUAUUGAGAAGAAUUUAUGGUAAGACAGGAGACACUGCUAGCUUUUCUGUGGGGUGCAAUGCAGAGAGGAUCUCUGCACAGCUGGGAGAACUCUGGUGAGGCCACUCUGACCCAGCCACUAACUAAAACUGAAGUCAUUACAUCUGGGUUAGGUAGUGGAGCCUUACAAAAGAACCAAGCAGCAUUUCCCAGGGGGCUGGAAACAACCCUGCUCAAGUACCCCUUGAGAUUCUGAAACUGCAACCCACCUCUCUGACUCCAAACUGUGAGUGGGGUUUAACAGACGGGGAAGGGACAUAGCAAAGGCUAUUGACCUGUAGGGCAUUUACACCAGCAGGUGGGGUUAGUAGAUUCCUGCCAAGGUCACUGUGGGAGAGUGUUUGAGUUAGCAUAUAUAUCAGUGAACUAUAUUGCUGUUUUCCCGGAUUGAUGUUGUGUUCUCUUUCCCCCAGUGAAGUUUCCCUUGUUUCAUUCACAGACUCAAUGCUUUUGAGUGGGGAAGUAUUGCCUGUUAAAGGCUUCCAGGGGAGGUAUUUAGUGAUCUCUGAAAUUCUGAGUGAGGGCUUGAGCUGAUGGUGGUGGUAGUUUGAAGCGGGACCUUGUAUUUUAGGUGGCUCAGAGGUAUGGAUAUAAUCCAGUCACUGCCCUGCACUAAAUCAUUUCAAACAAGAUUUGGGGUCUGAUAUGUUCAGUCUUCUUAGUAUCAUGGCAAACACACCAUUACCAAUUCUUUUACGCUUUCAUUAAAGACACAGAAAAGCCUGAGCCACAUCUUUAAAGCUCUGUCUCUACUCAGCUUUACACUGAGUUCUAGCGUGUGCCCCACUAGCCUGAGUCUGUCCACCAGGGCUGGGAGGCUAGAUUUACCUGGAAGGAGCAACAUGCUUUUCCUCAGGUAAUGCUCUGCAGGAAGACACUGAUUCAGCAGAGCAGUUAAGCAGAGCCUUAACUUUAAGAAGGUGCUAGCAUCCUAUUAGCAAAGCAUUAAGCACUUGCUUAACUUCAUAAGAUAAACAUGUGUUUUGGUGAAUGUGGAUGGAGUUAAAUGCUCUGCUGAGUGGAGGACUAAAUAAUGCCACACAUAUAGUAAGCUUGCUAAGGCUUUGUCUGCUGUGUAACACCGUUGCCUUGAAUAACACGUAAGGAAUAAAUAUGAAAUGCCCAUGGAAAACCUAUUGAUUAGCAAGUAACUGCUGAAAAUGUGGCAUGGUGCCAUCUUUUUUAUUCUGUGCUACUCAGAAUUUGGCAAGAAAUAAAGCGAAAGAA